rnacentral:misc_RNA from 1 species
GAUGAAGAACGUAGCGAAAUGCGAUAAGUAAUGUGAAUUGCGGAAUUCAGUGAAUCAUCGAAUCUUUGAACGCACAUUGCGCCCGCCAGUAUUCUGGCGGGCAUGCCUGUCCGAGCGUCAUUUCAACCCUCGAACCCCUCCGGGGGGUCGGCGUUGGGGAUCGGCCCUUUACCGGCCGGCCCCGAAAUACAGUGGCGGUCUCGCCGCAGCCUCUCCUGCGCAGUAGUUUGCACACUCGCACCGGGAGCGCGGCGCAGUCCAAUGCCGUAAAACACCCAACUUUCUGAAAUGUUGACCUCGGAUCAGGUAGGAAUACCCGCUGAACUUAAGCAUAUCAAUAAGCGGAGGA